GACGAACCGUGCGAACGUUGUUCGGAAUCACUGGGCUUAAAGGGCGCGUAGGCGGGCCUCCAAGUCCGGGGUGAAAUCCUCCAGCCUAACUGGAGAAGAGCCUCGGAGACUGGGGGCCUCGAGGGAGGUAGGGGCGUGCGGAACUAUGGGUGGAGCGGUGAAAUGCAUUGAUAUCGAGAGGAACACCGUGCGGCGAAGGCGGGUGAGCUGGGCCGACACUGACGCUGAGGCGCGAAAGCCAGGGGAGCGAACGGG
rnacentral:rRNA from 1 species